rnacentral:rRNA from 1 species
CAGUCGCCACGGUAAUACGUAGGUCCCGAGCGUUGUCCGGAUUUAUUGGGCGUAAAGCGAGCGCAGGCGGUUUGAUAAGUCUGAAGUUAAAGGCUGUGGCUCAACCAUAGUUCGCUUUGGAAACUGUCAAACUUGAGUGCAGAAGGGGAGAGUGGAAUUCCAUGUGUAGCGGCGAAAUGCGUAGAUAUAUGGAGGAACACCGGUGGCGAAAGCGGCUCUCUGGUCUGUAACUGACGCUGAGGCUCGAAAGCGUGGGGAGCGAACAGGACUAGAUACCCCCGUAGUCCCUGUCUCUUAUACA